rnacentral:rRNA from 1 species
AUGGAUCCACCGUCCGCGUCAGCUGCUGCUCUGGAUCUGGGGAGUCCCUUCGCCACCCGAUACAGGUGGAGAGCUGCGUCGCUGGAUGCCCCUGCCUCAUACUCCGGCGACCCGCUGCUUCCCGAAGCUCCGACGCGCCAACCACCCCAGCCCCUCCCCACCCCCACCCCCAAGCUUCCACUGGGUGGUGGUUUGUUGCAUCUCCACGCCAGCGACAGAGAGGAAAUCCACCUUGAUGCUGGCGAGGUUCAUUUCGGGGAGAAGACAACGACCACCCCUGUCCUCCACUCGAUCAGGUGCCAAAAUCGACGACCAUGA